UUUCUCUCUGGAAUUGAAGUCACAAGAUGGAAAAUUAUUCAUAAUUGCAAUCAUAACAUACCAUACAAUAGAGAGUUUCCUGCCAAGGAAACUUUGAUUUCAAAGACCUUACGCAAGUCGCAUGUAGUCGUGACUAUUUUUUUUUUGCAAGAAGCUCCUGCCAGCCUUCAAACUCAACACAACCCAGGUCAGCUCAGGGAUGGAAGGGACUUGAUUGGCAUAAAAUAAUUCCUCAGACAAAGGACUGAGUGUAUAGCUUCAAUGGGACACUGUGCAUCUAGGUCUUUAUAAGGAAGGUUGCCCUGGGCUCGUCCAACACAGGUGAUAUCCACAUCAUGGGUACUACCAAGAUUUUCCUGCUCCUUCUCUCAGUGGCCCUGUUGGCCCUGAGCUCAGCUCAAGGAACACCCAAGGAAGCCCCAAGCCAGCAACCUGCUGAACCUGAACCAGGGGAUUUCCUGGAUAAAAAUUUCAAGGUCACUUUGAUGUCUUCAAUGAAAUGCUCUCUGUCUCUGUUUGUCCUCUGUCUACAUAUCUCUCUCUGUUUCCCUGUCUGUCUCUGUCUAUCCUUUGAAAGAAAUGUAGUACCAAGAACCAGAAAGGUUAAAUGCCCGCCUAUUCAAAAGAUUUAGCUCUGAAAGGCUAAAUAAACAAAUGCUGCAUCCUUGCCA
rnacentral:lncRNA from 1 species